rnacentral:lncRNA from 1 species
CCAUGGAACAUUCCUGGGGAAGGUAACACACCUUGGUUCAUCAACAGUGUCUGUUGCAUUUGAUGACCAAAGUGUAGCAAUUGUCCCCCCAAAGAAAGCCUUAAUCCAUUAGCAAGACUCUCCCCAAAUCCUACCGUCUCCCCUCUGCAUAAGACUAAAGGUUUCCUUUCUUACAUGAUUGAACUAAUGCUUGUCACCUUGAUCUGUGAAUCCUAUGUGCGGUCAUUCACCUAUCAGCAUAGGAUUCAAGUAAACACUAUUCAGGUUGGAAGGGAGAUCCAAUUAUUUGAAAUCCUAGACUAUUGAAAUCCUCUCUAGCUAUUUAUAAGAGUAUAACAAAACUUAUUAUUUAUAGCUUUGGGGCUAUGUGCAGAGGACUGUUGUGUCCUGUGGAUGAGUCCCAGCUACCAAGGUAGUUAUAGGUGACAUGCUAGUGAAGUUGAGGAGUCCAGAACCAGAGCCAACACAAUCACCAGGUCAUUUCCUCAUGGAUAACUAAGGAGUAAGAUAUGGUAAUGGUGGGAAACCCAUGAUAACAAGUAGAGCCAUGUGGUCCUGCUUCCUGGAGCAAAAGACCAACUGUGGGUUGUUAGAGCAUGGGGGUCUCAGAAACAGGGAUCUGUAGGACCACAAGAAUCAGGUGAGUAGUUCUACUGUUUUGUCAAUAAUAGUUUCC